AAAGCAUUUGUUCCUCAUGCAACAUCUUGGUAUUGUAUAGUCUUUGUUAAUACUCAAUAAAAAUGUUGGCUAUGUCAGCAGUAGUUUGAAACUUAAAGCUCCUUCUGAAGAUUUUUUUACAUUAGUUAAAAUUUAUUUUGAUAUAUUUAAUCGGCAUUUCGAGACAAAGUCUCACAAAUUCAAUUUAAAAAGAAGCAUAGUCCAAAAAUGUAUAAUUUUAACGUCAAAAAUAGAUAAAUAUGCAGACUGGUGUAAAUUUUCCGAUCCGUGCUUUGUACACCGAAAUCAUCUGCUCAAUCAUGUUGCAUGCGAAGAUAUCGAUAGGUGAUACCCCAUAGAAGCGGUGAGGAGGAAAGAAGUUUGAACAGAGUGGCAAGGCCAAAAUUGAAGGGGAAAAGGUUAGCGAAGAGUGGCGCCACCUGGUCCUGGAGAGUGAGAGUUCCGCGCUCUCCGGAGCCGUUAUGAGAGAAGAUUUCCGAUCUCAUCCCAUAACGGAGUCCCGAAGCCAACUCACCCAUACCCCAAAGAAAAGAGAGCCGCCAGCAGACCGAAUCAGGCCAUGCCCUGAACCUAGUUCAAGGGCGAUAGAAGAGAGAGCGAUGGGGAUCAGCGGCCCGGGAACAUUAAACAGAGCAGCUAAGCCAAGAGGGGGUUCAGAGAAAGAAAUUCCCGCAACGGAGGAGCAUGCGCGCCGGACAUAGUGAUAUAGUGAUUUUUUUUGUUCUGAAAGAAAAAGGGAUCCAGAUCAGUGAGAGACCAGGAACCAGGACUAGCGGGACGGGAAAGAGACCCAAGAAGCAUAAGAGGAAUAGUUCACAGCUCCGCCAACCUGGCUUGCUUUUUGCUGGGCUCGAAGACACAAUCCUGGCCACGAAGAGCGGGUCCCUCGCCCAUUUAGGGAGAGCAAAAAAAAAGCAUCAAUCAACAUAUUUACUCCCAUUAUUUAUUUUUGUUAGACGUCUCCAUUUAUAUGUACAUAUAUGUUAAUCCCCUAAUU